AGUGAACGCUGGCGGUAGGCCUAACACAUGCAAGUCGAACGGCAGCACAGUAAGAGCUUGCUCUUACGGGUGGCGAGUGGCGGACGGGUGAGGAAUACAUCGGAAUCUACUUUUUCGUGGUGGAUAAUGUAGGGAAACUUACGCUAAUACCGCAUACGACCUACGGGUGAAAGCAGGGGAUCUUCGGACCUUGCGCGAUUGAAUGAGCCGAUGUCGGAUUAGCUAGUUGGCGGGGUAAAGGCCCACCAAGGCGACGAUCCGUAGCUGGUCUGAGAGGAUGAUCAGCCACACUGGAACUGAGACACGGUCCAGACUCCUACGGGAGGCGGCAGUGGGGAAUAUUGGACAAUGGGCGCAAGCCUGAUCCAGCCAUACCGCGUGGGUGAAGAAGGCCUUCGGGUUGUAAAGCCCUUUUGUUGGGAAAGAAAAGCAGCAGGUUAAUACCCCGCUGUUCUGACGGUACCCAAAGAAUAAGCACCGGCUAACUUCGUG
rnacentral:rRNA from 1 species